rnacentral:rRNA from 1 species
UACGUAGGGGGCUAGCGUUGUCCGGAAUCAUUGGGCGUAAAGCGCGCGUAGGCGGCCCGGUAAGUCCGCUGUAAAAGUCAAAGGCUCAACCUUUCAAUGUCAGUGGAUACUGCCGGGCUAGAGUCCGGAAGAGGCGAGUGGAACUCCUGGUGUAGCGGUGGAAUGCGCAGAUAUCAGGAAGAACACCGACGGCGAAGGCAGCUCGCUGGGACGGUACUGACGCUGAGGCGCGAAAGCGUGGGGAGCGAACAGG